rnacentral:rRNA from 1 species
AUGAACGCUAGCGGCAGGCCUAAUACAUGCAAGUCGGACGGGAUUCAGGAGCUUGCUUCUGAUGAGAGUGGCGCACGGGUGCGUAACACGUAUGUAACCUACCUUUAUCAGGGGGAUAGCCUCUCGAAAGAGAGAUUAAGCCCGCAUAAAAUCACAGCACAGCAUUGUGUAAUGAUCAAAUAUUUAUAGGAUAAAGAUGGGCAUGCGGAACAUUAGCUAGAUGGCGGGGUAACGGCCCACCAUGGCGACGAUGUUUAGGGGAUCUGAGAGGAUGGCCCCCCAAACUGGUACUGAGACACGGACCAGACUCCUACGGGAGGCAGCAGUAAGGAAUAUUGGUCAAUGGGCGGAAGCCUGAACCAGCCAUGCCGCGUGCAGGAAGACGGGCCUACGGGUUGUAAACUGCUUUUAUACGGGAAUAAACCCAGAUACGUGUAUCUGGCUGAAUGUACUGUAAGAAUAAGGAUCGGCUAACUCCGUG